rnacentral:rRNA from 1 species
GGCGUAAUACGUAGGGGGCAAGCGUUGUCCGGAAUUAUUGGGCGUAAAGCGCGCGCAGGCGGUCAUGUAAGUCUGGUGUUUAAUCCCGGGGCUCAACCCCGGAUCGCACUGGAAACUGUGUGACUUGAGUGCAGAAGAGGAGAGUGGAAUUCCACGUGUAGCGGUGAAAUGCGUAGAGAUGUGGAGGAACACCAGUGGCGAAGGCGACUCUCUGGGCUGUAACUGACGCUGAGGCGCGAAAGCGUGGGGAGCAAACAGGAUUAGAUACCCUGGUAGUCCACGCCGUAAACGAUGAGUGCUAGGUGUUAGGGGUUUCGAUACCCUUGGUGCCGAAGUUAACACAUUAAGCACUCCGCCUGGGGAGUACGGUCGCAAGACUGAAACUCAAAGGAAUUGACGGGGACCCGCACAAGCAGUGGAGUAUGUGGUUUAAUUCGAAGCAACGCGAAGAACCUUACCAGGUCUUGACAUCCAACUAACGAGGCAGAGAUGCGUUAGGUGCCCUUCGGGGAAAGUUGAGACAGGUGGUGCAUGGUUGUCGUCAGCUCGUGUCGUGAGAUGUUGGGUUAAGUCCCGCAACGAGCGCAACCCUUAUAUUUAGUUGCCAGCACUUCGGGUGGGCACUCUAGAUAGACUGCCGGUGACAAACCGGAGGAAGGUGGGGAUGACGUCAAAUCAUCAUGCCCCUUAUGACCUGGGCUACACACGUACUACAAUGGCCGGUACAACGGGCUGCGAAAUCGCGAGAUGGAGCCAAUCCCAACAAAGCCGGUCUCAGUUCGGAUUGCAGGCUGCAACUCGCCUGCAUGAAGUCGGAAUUGCUAGUAAUCGCGAUCAGCUGCCGCGA